CGCGAGGUGGGGGAUGAGGGGCACAACCGAGGAAGCAGCGCCCCACCCGGCUCCCCGGGCUGGGAGGCCCCGAAUUGAGGGUUCCACCUGCAGGAUCACGCACCUCUGGCCCUGUGCUCAAGGCAUGCCAUCGGUGUAGGCAGCCUUGGCCGGGUUGCCUCUCGGUCACGCUGAACCGGACGGAGGUCGCCAGGCCCUGGACUGCCUCGUCCUGGGUUCUCGCGUCGCUGGGAAUGUUGUACGGGUAACACUACUUGAGCGGAGAAGAUCCAUGCUCUCCCUACGCCCCCAUUCGGACGGCUGGGGGACUUACCACGCUCUGCCUGGGAGAAUCUUCGGUCCCUGGAAAAAAAGAGUCCAUUCACCCUCUACAAUUUCUAUACCGUAUCUUCAUUAAAAUGUCAGAAGGAUACACCCUAAAAUUGGAGACCAGAGCACUGGGGCUGGAUUGCUUGCUCCUUGUCUCUGUAUCUGGCCUGGACGGCAGUCAUGGCAAUAUGAGGGAGAAGGUAUAGGCCUGUCACUGGCCAUCCACUGACCUACCAGUAAGAUCCACCACCUGAAAGAAGAUAAAGGGUUUAGGAUCUUCUACUGGGUGCCUCCUACUAAACCCUCCUGAGCCUCCCACUGAACUCAAGAGCCGUGCAAAUCAUGAAUGGCCUGUUUUACUGCGCGUUGGGCUUUCUCUGUUUUGCAUUAUUUGUCGAAGAAGAGAACAGAGAAGCUACUGGUUAUAUCCCUGUCAUUGUUACACUAACUUACGUAUUUUGUUCAUCAACAUUUUUCAUCAGCUCGGGCUCCAUCAGCGUACAAGCACAGAAGCAUCCUACAAAAUCCAAGCUUAUUGCUAGCAUGGUUAUGAACAUCCUAAGUGCCUGUUUUUCUGUACUUGGUAUAAUGAUAUUAAGUAUUGCAAGUUUAACGUAUUAUCCAGACACCAAUGAAUACCUGUGGUCACAUAUAGCUGGUAGUAUGCUUUUACAAUAUAUACUCUUCACCACGAUCGUGGAAGUGAUCUGUGCAUACGUGACUGUCAAGUGGAUUGAAGCAGCAUUGCGUCCUGUAGAAUGCAGUGACAUAAGUCCAUAGCUGUCGCAGUGCAGUGUCUCUACAUAGCUCACAAAGAACCAGUGUGACUCCCAUCAAGAACGAAAGAUUAAUCGUGAACUGGGGAAGAACUCCGCGAUUGUUCUCAAGAGGCCUCACGGAAAACACAGGCUACUGAAGUCCUUCCCAGUGCGCCUUCUCCCUACUUCUUCAAUAAAGGAUGCAAUCUGAUCACAA